AUUGAACGCUGGCGGCAGGCCUAACACAUGCAAGUCGAGCGGCAGCGGGAAAGUAGCUUGCUACUUUUGCCGGCGAGCGGCGGACGGGUGAGUAAUGCCUGGGGAUCUGCCCAGUCGAGGGGGAUAACUACUGGAAACGGUAGCUAAUACCGCAUACGCCUUACGGGGGAAAGCAGGGGACCUUCGGGCCUUGCGCGAUUGGAUGAACCCAGGUGGGAUUAGCUAGUUGGUGAGGUAAUGGCUCACCAAGGCGACGAUCCCUAGCUGGUCUGAGAGGAUGAUCAGCCACACUGGAACUGAGACACGGUCCAGACUCCUACGGGAGGCAGCAGUGGGGAAUAUUGCACAAUGGGGGAAACCCUGAUGCAGCCAUGCCGCGUGUGUGAAGAAGGCCUUCGGGUUGUAAAGCACUUUCAGCGAGGAGGAAAGGUUGGUAGCUAAUAACUGCCAGCUGUGACGUUACUCGCAGAAGAAGCACCGGCUAACUCCGUGCCAGCAGCCGCGGUAA
rnacentral:rRNA from 1 species